GGCUACUUUCUACUUUGAAGAAUGAGAUUAUUCGGCACUCACAUCAAUACAUUGUGAGGGAGAGAGCAAGAACCCAACAAGAUUUGUUUCAGUAAGAGCAAGAUGGAGAAGAGUGUGAGAAAGUCAGUCUUAUUCCUUAAGAUUGCAUGUGUUGAUG
rnacentral:lncRNA from 1 species